CAGCAGCCACGGGAAUACGAAGGGUGCAAGCGUUACUCGGAAUUACUGGGCGUAAAGCGUGCGUAGGCGGCUUCUUAAGUCGGAUGUGAAAUCCCUGAGCUUAACUUAGGAAUUGCAUUCGAUACUGGGAAGCUAGAGUAUGGGAGAGGAUGGUAGAAUUCCAGGUGUAGCGGUGAAAUGCGUAGAGAUCUGGAGGAAUACCGAUGGCGAAGGCAGCCAUCUGGCCUAAUACUGACGCUGAGGUACGAAAGCAUGGGGAGCAAAUAGGAUUAGAUACCCCAGUAGUCCCUGUCUCUUAUAC
rnacentral:rRNA from 1 species